GACGAACGCUGGCGGCGUGCUUAACACAUGCAAGUCGAGCGGUAAGGGCCCUUUCGGGGGUACACGAGCGGCGAACGGGUGAGUAACACGUGGGUGACCUGCCCUCAGCUCUGGGAUAAAGCCUGGGAAACUGGGUCUAAUACUGGAUAUGACUCCACGGUGCAGUGUCGUGGGGUGGAAAGCCUUGUGCGGCUGAGGAUGGGCCCGCGGCCUAUCAGCUUGUUGGNGGGUGAUGGCCUACCAAGGCGACGACGGGUAGCCGGCCUGAGAGGGCGACCGGCCACACU
rnacentral:rRNA from 1 species